rnacentral:rRNA from 1 species
GACGAACGCUGGCGGCGUGCUUAACACAUGCAAGUCGAACGGAAAGGCCCCUUUGGGGGUACUCGAGUGGCGAACGGGUGCGUAACACGUGAGUAACCUGCCCUUGCCUUCGGGAUAACUUCACGAAACUGGGGCUAAUACCGGAUAGGAAUCCUUGCUGCAUGGUGGGGGUUGGAAAGCUUCGGCGGCUUUGGAUGGACUCGCGGGCUAUCAGCUUGUUGGUGGGGUAGUGGCUUACCAAGGCUUUGACGGGUAGCCGGCCUGAGAGGGCGACCGGCCACAUUGGGACUGAGAUACGGCCCAGACUCCUACGGGAGGCAGCAGUGGGGAAGAUUGCACAAUGGGCGGAAGCCUGAUGCAGCAAGGCCGCGUGCGGGAUGACGGCCUUCGGGUUGUAAACCGCUUUCAGCAGGAGCGAAGCUUGUGGUGACGGUACCUGCAGAAGAAGCACCGGCUAACUACGUG